rnacentral:rRNA from 1 species
UGGCGGACGGGUGAGUAACGCGUGGGCAACCUACCCCACACAGGGGGACAACAGUUGGAAACGACUGCUAAUACCGCAUAGGCGCACAGCUUCGCAUGAAGCAGUGUGGAAAACCGAGGUGGUGUGGGAUGGGCCCGCGUCUGAUUAGCUGGUUGGCGGGGUAACGGCCCACCAAGGCGACGAUCAGUAGCCGGCCUGAGAGGGUGGACGGCCACAUUGGGACUGAGACACGGCCCAAACUCCUACGGAAGGCAGCAG